CAGAGCUGGGAGCACAAGAGGAGUGAGGGAAUUUAAAAGUCAAAAUACUGGAUCUUCGUUAUCCGGCUUUGAGAUUUCACAUCUGAUCUAACGCAGCCUUUGGAAUAAUCAUCUUUAUUCGAUCCUGGUGCUUCGGUCCCAGCUUCUAAUUUAACACUGUUAUGUACACAUGGUGAUGGGCCCGCGCUGAAACGGAGGGAGAAGAGGAGUGUGUUGAUGUCCAGGAUCGACAAUGAUACUUUCUGAUGUCUUACACACCUUUAUCUCUGCUGAAUGCCCCGGAUCUCUCAGAGGCAAGGCAGAAGCAGCUGAUGAAGUGGUCACAGUCCCCUAAGAGGAGGCCAGUGGGUGGAAUUCCCAACAACUCCAGCUCUGAGGUUUGGAAGACAAACGACUUGGGUUUCGGACGAAUGGGAGUGUCAAGUUAUUCCAGCCUGAUGAGAUAACAGCUCAGAGGAUCACGAGGAAUCGAUUCCUCCAGAAGAGGAAAGCCAGCUGGCACAGGAGCUCCGCAGGGCCUUCUGCUAAAGCGUUCACAGUGCAUCUUGAAGAGAGGAGUCAACUAUGUUAAAGAGUACAUCUUCAGAAACCUUUGUAGCUACACCUUGGCCCAGCAAUUUAUAUUCUAUUCUGGCCACUGUGCUUAGGAGAGCUUAUGGCCAGAAAGACCACAAUCUAAGUACAGAAAAGCUUUCUGGAUGUAAUCCACAGGAGGCAUCGAAGUCAAUUCAGCAAACUCUUUCUGAAAUUGUUGUCAACUCCUAUUCUGGGUAAUUAAAGAGAACAAGAGGCUGGUUCUCUGCAUAUUUUCACAACCUAGAGCGGACAAAGGAAAGGAUCACGUAUGCAACAUAAUUCAGUGUGGUUCCAUCUAAUACAGCUAGAAUGAUUCCAACUGACUGGUUUGUUGAGACUGGAAUUUGAACUCCAUCGAAGAGUCCACACCAGACAAUUCCAAACCUACCAGGACCCCAAGCAUUAUCAAGACACCAUAUGACUUGGAGGGCCCUUAUUUAUAGCAAACAGCCCCUAAUAAUCUCACUCAGUAUGUACUACAGAAAAUGAAGCUUACACAUUUCAUACUGGGGCUACUCAAAGUAUGGUCUGUGAACCUGGCACCACUAGUAGUCCAGGACAUUGUCUACAUCACUAAGUAUAAUGCUUAGUUCAGCUAACUUGUUUUUUCAUAGCAAGAUAUUCUUGAUGAAGGAGACUUGACUGAUUUAGAUUCUAGCCCAGGCUCCUUACCCAUCAUGAACUGGUAACAGUUUGUGGACCAGCUUUUUGGAAUAACACUUGUUCUAGACCUCAAUUUUAAGUAUUGCCUCUAGUUUUCUGUCCCUGAUGCCACACACAAUUUAACUGACCAACCCAAUACUUAAA